AAUGAACAAAAAUUUUUGUAAUAAUAUAAUAAUUUUAAUGUAGCUGGAAAUUAGAAAAUGUACAGUAACUAAAAAUCAAUCAAAAAAUUUUUAUUGGAUUUAAAAUUUGUUGUGUAUUUACAUUAAAAAUUCAUCAAAGCUUUUCAAAGUUUUUAAUGACAAACUAUAAACAUUAUAUUGAUUUAAAAACUGAAGCAGAGCAGAGAACCAAAGGAAACAUUAUUCGAAUAGUAGCUGAUUAUCUAACCAACAAAUGAUGUUCAUUGCUAUAUUGCUAUUAUUCAUCCUUCUUAUAUUGGUGUGGAAUUUUUCUGCGCA